rnacentral:rRNA from 1 species
UAAGCGGAGGAAAAGAAACUAACAAGGAUUCCCCUAGUAGCGGCGAGCGAAGCGGGAAAAGCUCAAAUUUGUAAUCUGGCGUCUACGACGUCCGAGUUGUAAUCUCGAGAAGUGUUUUCCGUGAUAGACCGCAUACAAGUCUCUUGGAACAGAGCGUCAUAGUGGUGAGAACCCAGUACACGAUGCGGAUGCCUAUUACUUUGUGAUACACUUUCGAAGAGUCGAGUUGUUUGGGAAUGCAGCUCAAAUUGGGUGGUAAAUUCCAUCUAAAGCUAAAUAUUGGCGAGAGACCGAUAGCGAACAAGUACCGUGAGGGAAAGAUGAAAAGCACUUUGGAAAGAGAGUUAACAGUACGUGAAAUUGUUGGAAGGGAAACACAUGCAGCCAGACUUGCUAUUCGGGGCAACUCGAUUGGCAGGCCCGCAUCAGUUUUUCGGGGCGGAAAAGCAUAGAGAGAAGGUAGCAAUUUCGGUUGUGUUAUAGCUCUUUAUUGGAUUCGCCCUGGGGGACUGAGGAACGCAGCGUGCUUUUAGCAUAAGCUUCGGCUUAUCCACGCUUAGGAUGCGGGUGUAAUGGCUGUAUAUGACCCGUCUUGAAACACGGACCAAGGAGUCUAACAUGCUUGCGAGUAUUUGGGUGUCAAACCCGGAUGCGCAAUGAAAGUGAAUGGAGGUGGGAAGCGCAAGCUGCACCAUCGACCGAUCUGGAUCUUUUGAGAUGGAUUUGAGUAAGAGCAAGUAUGUUGGGACCCGAAAGAUGGUGAACUAUGCCUGAAUAGGGCGAAGCCAGAGGAAACUCUGGUGGAGGCUCGUAGCGGUUCUGACGUGCAAAUCGAUCGUCAAAUUUGGGUAUAGGGGCGAAAGACUAAUCGAACCA